UACGAAGGGGGCUAGCGUUGUUCGGAAUUACUGGGCGUAAAGCGCACGUAGGCGGACUACUAAGUCAGGGGUGAAAUCCCGGGGCUCAACCCCGGAACUGCCUUUGAUACUGGUAGUCUCGAGUCCGGAAGAGGUGAGUGGAAUUCCGAGUGUAGAGGUGAAAUUCGUAGAUAUUCGGAGGAACACCAGUGGCGAAGGCGGCUCACUGGUCCGGUACUGACGCUGAUGUGCGAAAGCGUGGGGAGCAAACAGG
rnacentral:rRNA from 1 species